GAUGAACGCUGGCGGCGUGCCUAAUACAUGCAAGUCGAGCGAACGGACGAGAAGCUUGCUUCUCUGAUGUUAGCGGCGGACGGGUGAGUAACACGUGGAUAACCUACCUAUAAGACUGGGAUAACUUCGGGAAACCGGAGCUAAUACCGGAUAAUAUUUUGAACCGCAUGGUUCAAAAGUGAAAGACGGUCUUGCUGUCACUUAUAGAUGGAUCCGCGCUGCAUUAGCUAGUUGGUAAGGUAACGGCUUACCAAGGCAACGAUGCAUAGCCGACCUGAGAGGGUGAUCGGCCACCCUGGAACUGAGACACGGUCCAGACUCCUAAGGGAGGCAGCAGUAGGGAAUCUUCCGCAAUGGGCGAAAGCCUGACGGAGCCACGCCGCGUGAGUGAUGAAGGUCUUCGGAUCGUAAAACUCUGUUAUUAGGGAAGAACAUAUGUGGAAGUAACUGUGCACAUCUUGACGGUACCUAAUCAGAAAGCCACGGCUAACUACGUG
rnacentral:rRNA from 1 species